UCCAAAUGUCGGGGAUUGAUUCCAAGAAAACCGUUCGUGUUGAAGAUGUGAAGACAUGUUGGCUGAUGGAGUUAUGAAUUUUCCUCACUUCCUUUCACAUUUUUAACUGUGUGCUCGGUUCCAUCUAAUUCAACCGAUUAAUCUGAUUGAUUCGUACGUCACCUCACUUCUAAGUUUAGGCGCACUGUUCCAAGUUGAAGUCUCACGACGCACAGAGAAAAGAUGAUGAUGAAGAGCAGACAUUCAGCAGUAUUGCUACAGGGAUCCUUAUUGUGGAGCUUGAUGAAGGAGGGCACCCGCAUGUUUUUACACUCACUGUCUAUUUUAUUAGCUUCACUUACCAUAUAGAAGCACAUUGUAGUUCUACUAUUACUGACUGUUUUUUUACAUGCUUUUUUUAAGACUGCUUUCAUACUGCUUUUAUCCUGUUCUCAGUCCAGCAGUGACAGUGAGGUGUUUAAAAACUCCAGCAGCGCUGCUGUGUCUUAUCCACUCAUACCAGCACAACACACACUAACACCACCACCAUGUCAGUGUCACUGCAGUGCUGAGAAUAUCCUGUGGGUUAUGAUGUGCACCAGAACAGAAUUGAUUUGUUUUCCACUUUAAAGAUUGAAUUUUAAGUGAAGUGUGCAAUCAAGCAAAUGUUUUAUGAUUUAUGUUUGCACAACUUUUUGUUAAAGUUUUGUGAGUUGCUGUUAAAAUGUUGU